rnacentral:misc_RNA from 1 species
AAGUCGUAACAAGGUUUCCGUAGGUGAACCUGCGGAAGGAUCAUUCAAAAUAAAGCUGGUAGGAAGUGGGGGUCUUGAUCCGUAAGUGGUAGAGCGAACAGCCGGCUGCUCCCGAAAUGUCUUACAUGUCCCCCAAGCCUGAAGGCCGAAUUCAACCCUUGAUUAUCUACACUUGUUGCUUUGGGGUGCUCAAGGCCCCAGAGGACCCAACUCUCUUGCAUUUAGUGACGUCUGAGUACUAUAUAAUAUUUAAAA